CCACUCUGCCACUUUUGAUUCUAAAAAUUAAUACUUGCCACUCCAGGUUUGUAUUAAACUCCCAAGGUUACAGCUUUUCUCUGACCUUGGCUUGGUAAAGGCUGCCAUCAGCCAAAUGCAAAAAAAACCACUGCCACCCCCUUGGACCCAAGAAGGAGCACUUUGGAAUUCCUCCCUGUGGGGUACCCUUAAGCCCUUUCACACACACACCGUCUGGGGAAGUGCUGAGAAAAAAAAUAAAGGAAA